AUGAACGCUGGCGGCGUGCCUAAUACAUGCCAGUCGAGCGAACAGACGAGGAGCUUGCUCCUCUGACGUUAGCGGCGGACGGGUGAGUAACACGUGGAUAACCUACCUAUAAGACUGGGAUAACUUCGGGAAACCGGAGCUAAUACCGGAUAAUAUAUUGAACCGCAUGGUUCAAUAGUGAAAGACGGUUUUGCUGUCACUUAUAGAUGGAUCCGCGCCGCAUUAGCUAGUUGGUAAGGUAACGGCUUACCAAGGCAACGAUGCGUAGCCGACCUGAGAGGGUGAUCGGCCACACUGGAACUGAGACACGGUCCAGACGCCUACGGGAGGCAGCAGUAGGGAAUCUUCCGCAAUGGGCGAAAGCCUGACGGAGCAACGCCGCGUGAGUGAUGAAGGUCUUCGGAUCGUAAAACUCUGUUAUUAGGGAAGAACAAAUGUGUAAGUAACUAUGCACGUCUUGACGGUACCUAAUCAGAAAGCCACGGCUAACUACGUG
rnacentral:rRNA from 1 species